AUACUUACCUGGCACAGGAGAUACCGUGAUCACGAAGGCGGUUUUCCCAGGGCGAGGCUCACCAUUGCACUCCGGUGGCGCUGACCCCUGCGAUUAACCCAAAUGUGGUUAACUCGAGUGCGCAAUUUUUGGUAGCGGGGGACUGCGUUCGCGCUAACCCCCU
rnacentral:snRNA from 1 species